rnacentral:rRNA from 1 species
UACGUAGGGGGGCAAGCGUUUGUCCGGAUUUAUUGGGCGUAAAGAGCGUGUAGGCGGCUAUACAGGUCCGCUGUGAAAACUCGAGGCUCAACCUCGAGACGUCGGUGGAAACCGUAUGGCUAGAGUCCGGAAGAGGAGAGUGGAAUUCCUGGUGUAGCGGUGAAAUGCGCAGAUAUCAGGAAGAACACCCGUGGCGAAGGCGGCUCUCUGGGACGGUACUGACGCUGAGACGCGAAAGCGUGGGGAGCGAACAGG